GUGGGGAAUCUUAGACAAUGGGCGCAAGCCUGAUCUAGCCAUGCCGCGUGAGCGAUGAAGGCCUUAGGGUUGUAAAGCUCUUUCGUGGGGGAAGAUAAUGACUGUACCCCAAGAAGAAGCCCCGGCUAACUCCGUGCCAGCAGCCGCGGUAAUACGGAGGGGGCUAGCGUUGUUCGGAAUUACUGGGCGUAAAGCGCACGUAGGCGGACUGGAAAGUCAGGGGUGAAAUCCCGGGGCUCAACCCCGGAACUGCCUUUGAAACUCCCAGUCUUGAGUUCGAGAGAGGUGAGUGGAAUGCCGAGUGUAGAGGUGAAAUUCGUAGAUAUUCGGAGGAACACCAGUGGCGAAGGCGGCUCACUGGCUCGAUACUGACGCUGAGGUGCGAAAGCGUGGGGAGCAAACAGGAUUAGAAACCCGUGUAGUCC
rnacentral:rRNA from 1 species